UCGUUGGCAUAGAAGAGAGAAAGCCGCCUUCUGCAGGGAACCCUGUCCCUGCAAAGGUACCCCCAGCAAGCCCAGCAGCCUGGACAUCCCUCCAGCUGCAUCCACGCUGGACACCGGACUGACCCCUUGAACAGGAUGGCGGCGUCACCCAUUCUCAGAGGAAGGGAAGGCCAGAGCUGCCACCAAGGAGGGAAGCAGAGCCCCGUGGCUGUGGGAAGGACUGACCCUUUGCAGGCUGACAACAUGGAAGGACCCUCCCCAGCUGGGCAAGCUUUGUGCAGCCCUGGUUUCUGUUGCACUCGGGGCAGCUCUUUCCCAUCCUGUCC
rnacentral:lncRNA from 1 species